AGUGAACGCUGGCGGUAGGCCUAACACAUGCAAGUCGAACGGCAGCACAGUAAGAGCUUGCUCUUACGGGUGGCGAGUGGCGGACGGGUGAGGAAUACAUCGGAAUCUACUUUUUCGUGGGGGAUAACGUAGGGAAACUUACGCUAAUACCGCAUACGACCUAUGGGUGAAAGCAGGGGAUCUUCGGACCUUGCGCGAUUGAAUGAGCCGAUGUCGGGUUAGCUAGUUGGCGGGGUAAAGGCCCACCAAGGCGACGAUCCGUAGCUGGUCUGAGAGGAUGAUCAGCCACACUGGAACUGAGACACGGUCCAGACUCCUACGGGAGGCAGCAGUGGGGAAUAUUGGACAAUGGGCGCAAGCCUGAUCCAGCCAUACCGCGUGGGUGAAGAAGGCCUUCGGGUUGUAAAGCCCUUUUGUUGGGAAAGAAAAGCAGCAGGUUAAUACCCCGCUGUUCUGACGGUACCCAAAGAAUAAGCACCGGCUAACUUCGUG
rnacentral:rRNA from 1 species